GACGAACGCUGGCGGCGUGCUUAACACAUGCAAGUCGAACGGAAAGGCCCUGCUUUUGUGGGGUGCUCGAGUGGCGAACGGGUGAGUAACACGUGAGUAACCUGCCCUUGACUUUGGGAUAACUUCAGGAAACUGGGGCUAAUACCGGAUAGGAGCUCCUGCUGCAUGGUGGGGGUUGGAAAGUUUCGGCGGUUGGGGCUGGACUCGCGGCUUAUCAGCUUGUUGGUGGGGUAGUGGCUUACCAAGGCUUUGACGGGUAGCCGGCCUGAGAGGGUGACCGGCCACAUUGGGACUGCGAUACGGCCCAGACUCCUACGGGCGGCAGCAGUGGGGAAUAUUGCACAAUGGGCGGAAGCCUGAUGCAGCAACGCCGCGUGCGGGAUGACGUCCUUCGGGUUGUAAACCGCUUUCGCCUGUGACGAAGCGUGAGUGACGGUAAUGGGUAAAGAAGCACCGGCUAACUACGUG
rnacentral:rRNA from 1 species